GAUGAACGCUAGCGACAGGCUUAACACAUGCAAGUCGAGGGGCAGCGAGAAAGUGCUUGCACUUUUGUCGGCGACCGGCGCACGGGUGAGUAACACGUAUGCAACCUGCCCUUGUCAGGGGGGAUAAGCGGGGGAAACCCCGUCUAAUACCGCAUAUAUGGUUUGGAGGCAUCUCUAAAUCAGGAAAGAAUUAUCGGACAAGGAUGGGCAUGCGGGACAUUAGGUAGUUGGGGGUGUAACGGACCACCAAGCCGACGAUGUCUAGGGGUUCUGAGAGGAAGGUCCCCCACACGGGUACUGAGACACGGACCAGACUCCUACGGGAGGCAGCAGUGAGGAAUAUUGGUCAAUGGGCGAGAGUCUGAACCAGCCAAGUCGCGUGAGGGAUGACGGUACUAAGUAUUGUAAACCUCUUUUGUCAGGGAACAAAGAGACCACGUGUGGUGAGAUGAGUGUACCUGAAGAAAAAGCAUCGGCUAACUCCGUGCCAGCCGCCGCGGUAACAC
rnacentral:rRNA from 1 species